UGAAUAAGGACCGGCUAAUUCCGUGCCAGCAGCCGCGGUAAUACGGAAGGUCCGGGCGUUAUCCGGAUUUAUUGGGUUUAAAGGGAGCGCAGGCGGAAGGUUAAGCGUGACGUGAAAUGUACCGGCUCAACCGGUGAUGUGCGUCGCGAACUGGCUUUCUUGAGUGAGUACGACGCUGGCGGAAUUCGUGGUGUAGCGGUGAAAUGCUUAGAUAUCACGAAGAACUCCGAUUGCGAAGGCAGCCGGCGAGUCCUCAACUGACGCUAAUGCUCGAAAGUGCGGGUAUCGAACAGGAUUAGAUACCCUGGUAGUCCGCACGGUAAACGAUGGAUGCCCGCUGUUGGCGAUAUAUUGUCAGCGGCCAAGCGAAAGCGUUAAGCAUCCCACCUGGGGAGUACGCCGGCAACGGUGAAACUCAAAGGAAUAGAGGG
rnacentral:rRNA from 1 species